rnacentral:sRNA from 1 species
UGUGAGGGUGAUCUGGCUUUAAUAUCCCUCACCCCAUUGAUUGCCAGGGUUCAUUCCGCUAGUGUGGCUGAAUAGGUAUAUAUCCCCUUCCUCCGUCACUGCUCCAUGAGCAUUCUUCCUGAAGCUCCUCACCUGGUGGACAAGGACAAUCAUCCAUGACAGGAGGGCACCAUUUUUUCAUCAAGGGGGAAAACUAUAAUUACGUUCUUCGGCUAGAACCUCCAGACGAGCUCAAUUUUUUCUUUAACUCAAUUUCCUUAAUUGGUAUAUUUAA